rnacentral:rRNA from 1 species
CCUACGGGAGGCAGCAGUAGGGAAUAUUGGGCAAUGGAGGAAACUCUGACCCAGCCAUGCCGCGUGCAGGAUGACGGCCCUCUGGGUUGUAAACUGCUUUUAUACGGGAAGAAAAAAUGCUACGUGUAGCACAUUGACGGUACCGUAAGAAUAAGGAUCGGCUAACUCCGUGCCAGCAGCCGCGGUAAUACGGAGGAUCCAAGCGUUGUCCGGAUUUAUUGGGUUUAAAGGGUGCGUAGGCGGAUCUUUAAGUCAGUGGUGAAAGCCUGCAGCUCAACUGUAGAACAGCCAUUGAAACUGAAGAUCUUGAAUAUGGUUAAAGUAGGCGGAAUGUAUCAUGUAGCGGUGAAAUGCUUAGAUAUGAUACAGAACACCGAUAGCGAAGGCAGCUUGCUGAACCAUUAUUGACGCUGAGGCACGAAAGCGUGGGGAGCAAACAGGAUUAGAUACCCUGGUAGUCCACGCCCUAAACGUUGAUUACUCGUUGUUGGCGAUAUACUGUCAGCGACUAAGCUAAAGCGUUAAGUAAUCCACCUGGGAAGUACGACCGCAAGGUUGAAACUCAAAGUGAAUUGACGGCUGAGACGAGCGACGACGACGACGAGGGAGGAGG